AGUGAACGCUGGCGGUAGGCCUAACACAUGCAAGUCGAACGGCAGCACAGUAAGAGCUUGCUCUUACGGGUGGCGAGAGGCGGACGGGUGAGGAAUACAUCGGAAUCUACUUUUUCGUGGGGGAUAACGUAGGGAAACUUAAGAUAAUACCGCAUACGACCUACGGGUGAAAGCAGGGGAUCUUCGGACCUUGCGCGAUUGAAUGAGCCGAUGUCGGAUUAGCUAGUUGGCGGGGUAAAGGCCAACCAAGGCGCCGAUCCGUAGCUGGUCUGAGAGGAUGAUCGGCGACACUGGAACUGAGACACGGUCCAGACUCCUACGAGAGGCAGCAGUGGGGAAUAUUGGACAAUGGGCGCAAGCCUGAUCCAGCCAUACCGCGUGGGUGAAGAAGGCCUUCGGGUUGUAAAGCCCUUUUGUUGGGAAGGAAAAGCAGCAGGUUAAUACCCCGCUGUUCUGACGGUACCCAAAGAAUAAGCACCGGCUAACUUCGUG
rnacentral:rRNA from 1 species